CGCUGACGAGUGGCGGACGGGUGAGUAAUGUCUGGGAAACUGCCUGAUGGAGGGGGAUAACUACUGGAAACGGUGGCUAAUACCGCAUAACGUCGCAAGACCAAAGAGGGGGACCUUCGGGCCUCUUGCCAUCAGAUGUGCCCAGAUGGGAUUAGCUAGUUGGUGAGGUAACGGCUCACCAAGGCGACGAUCCCUAGCUGGUCUGAGAGGAUGACCAGCCACACUGGAACUGAGACACGGUCCAGACUCCUACGGGAGGCAGCAGUGGGGAAUAUUGCACAAUGGGCGCAAGCCUGAUGCAGCCAUGCCGCGUGUAUGAAGAAGGCCUUCGGGUUGUAAAGUACUUUCAGCGGGGAGG
rnacentral:rRNA from 1 species